rnacentral:rRNA from 1 species
UGCGUAGGUGGUUUUUAAGCGUGGGGUGAAAGGCAGCGGCUCAACCGUUGUGAGCCUUGCGAACUGGAAGACUUGAGUGCAGGAGAGGAAAGCGGAAUUCCUAGUGUAGCGGUGAAAUGCGUAGAUAUUAGGAGGAACACCAGUGGCGAAGGCGGCUUUCUGGACUGUAACUGACACUGAGGCACGAAAGCGUGGGGAGCAAACA